rnacentral:rRNA from 1 species
CCGCAUGGUUCAAUAGUGAAAGACGGUUUUGCUGUCACUUAUAGAUGGAUCCGCGCCGCAUUAGCUAGUUGGUAAGGUAACGGCUUACCAAGGCAACGAUGCGUAGCCGACCUGAGAGGGUGAUCGGCCACACUGGAACUGAGACACGGUCCAGACUCCUACGGGAGGCAGCAGUAGGGAAUCUUCCGCAAUGGGCGAAAGCCUGACGGAGCAACGCCGCGUGAGUGAUGAAGGUCUUCGGAUCGUAAAACUCUGUUAUUAGGGAAGAACAAAUGUGUAAGUAACUAUGCACGUCUUGACGGUACCUAAUCAGAAAGCCACGGCUAACUACGUGCCAGCAGCCGCGGUAAUACGUAGGUGGCAAGCGUUAUCCGGAAUUAUUGGGCGUAAAGCGCGCGUAGGCGGUUUUUUAAGUCUGAUGUGAAAGCCCACGGCUCAACCGUGGAGGGUCAUUGGAAACUGGAAAACUUGAGUGCAGAAGAGGAAAGUGGAAUUCCAUGUGUAGCGGUGAAAUGCGCAGAGAUAUGGAGGAACACCAGUGGCGAAGGCGACUUUCUGGUCUGUAACUGACGCUGAUGUGCGAAAGCGUGGGGAUCAAACAGGAUUAGAUACCCUGGUAGUCCACGCCGUAAACGAUGAGUGCUAAGUGUUAG